rnacentral:rRNA from 1 species
AGAGUUUGAUCCUGGCUCAGGAUGAACGCUAGCUACAGGCUUAACACAUGCAAGUCGAGGGGAAACGAUAUUGGAAGCUUGCUUCCGAUAGGCGUCGACCGGCGCACGGGUGAGUAACGCGUAUCCAACCUGCCCACCACUUGGGGAUAACCUUGCGAAAGUAAGACUAAUACCCAAUGACGUCUCUAGAAGACAUCUGAAGGAGAUUAAAGAUUUAUCGGUGAUGGAUGGGGAUGCGUCUGAUUAGCUUGUUGGCGGGGUAACGGCCCACCAAGGCAACGAUCAGUAGGGGUUCUGAGAGGAAGGUCCCCCACAUUGGAACUGAGACACGGUCCAAACUCCUACGGGAGGCAGCAGUGAGGAAUAUUGGUCAAUGGGCGAGAGCCUGAACCAGCCAAGUAGCGUGCAGGAAGACGGCCCUAUGGGUUGUAAACUGCUUUUAUAAGGGAAUAAAGUGAGUCUCGUGAGACUUUUUGCAUGUACCUUAUGAAUAAGGACCGGCUAAUUCCGUGCCAGCAGCCGCGGUAAUACGGAAGGUCCGGGCGUUAUCCGGAUUUAUUGGGUUUAAAGGGAGCGUAGGCCGGAGAUUAAGCGUGUUGUGAAAUGUAGACGCUCAACGUCUGCACUGCAGCGCGAACUGGUUUCCUUGAGUACGCACAAAGUGGGCGGAAUUCGUGGUGUAGCGGUGAAAUGCUUAGAUAUCACGAAGAACUCCGAUUGCGAAGGCAGCUCACUGGAGCGCAACUGACGCUGAAGCUCGAAAGUGCGGGUAUCGAACAGGAUUAGAUACCCUGGUAGUCCGCACGGUAAACGAUGGAUGCCCGCUGUUGGUCUGAACAGGUCAGCGGCCAAGCGAAAGCAUUAAGCAUCCCACCUGGGGAGUACGCCGGCAACGGUGAGACUCAAAGGAAUUGACGGGGGCCCGCACAAGCGGAGGAACAUGUGGUUUAAUUCGAUGAUACGCGAGGAACCUUACCCGGGCUUGAAUUGCAGAGGAAGGAUUUGGAGACAAUGACGCCCUUCGGGGUCUCUGUGAAGGUGCUGCAUGGUUGUCGUCAGCUCGUGCCGUGAGGUGUCGGCUUAAGUGCCAUAACGAGCGCAACCCCUCUCCUUAGUUGCCAUCAGGUUAAGCUGGGCACUCUGGGGACACUGCCACCGUAAGGUGUGAGGAAGGUGGGGAUGACGUCAAAUCAGCACGGCCCUUACGUCCGGGGCUACACACGUGUUACAAUGGCA